UACGGGGGGGGCAAGCGUUGUUCGGAAUUACUGGGCGUAAAGGGCGCGUAGGCGGCCUUCUAAGUCAGACGUGAAAUCCCUCGGCUCAACCGGGGAACUGCGUCUGAUACUGGGUGGCUUGAAUUCGGGAGAGGGAUGCGGAAUUCCAGGUGUAGCGGUGAAAUGCGUAGAUAUCUGGAGGAACACCGGUGGCGAAGGCGGCAUCCUGGACCGAGAUUGACGCUGAGGCGCGAAAGCCAGGGGAGCAAACGGG
rnacentral:rRNA from 1 species